rnacentral:rRNA from 1 species
CCUACGGGGGGCAGCAGUGGGGAAUAUUGGACAAUGGGGGCAACCCUGAUCCAGCCAUGCCGCGUGUGUGAAGAAGGCCCUCGGGUUGUAAAGCACUUUCAGUGAGGAAGAACGCCUGGUGGUUAAUACCCAUCAGGAAAGACAUCACUCACAGAAGAAGCACCGGCUAACUCCGUGCCAGCAGCCGCGGUAAUACGGAGGGUGCGAGCGUUAAUCGGAAUUACUGGGCGUAAAGCGCGCGUAGGUGGCUUGAUAAGCCGGUUGUGAAAGCCCCGGGCUCAACCUGGGAACGGCAUCCGGAACUGUCAAGCUAGAGGGCAGGAGAGGAAGGUAGAAUUCCCGGUGUAGCGGUGAAAUGCGUAGAGAUCGGGAGGAAUACCAGUGGCGAAGGCGGCCUUCUGGACUGACACUGACACUGAGGUGCGAAAGCGUGGGUAGCCAACAGGAUUAGAUACCCUAGUAGUC